GAGACGAAAGGAGACAGAGGAGAGAGGACAGAGGAGAAGGGGGACAGAGACAAAGAGGAGGGUGGAGAUAGUCAAAAGGAGAAUGAAUCAAACGGCUUAACUAUGAGAAGGACUAUUAAGCUAAAAAGCAAGAAGAAAAAAGGAAGGCCCUUAGACUUGGAACAGUUCAGGCCUGCUCUCCGAAGGCAGUUGGAACUCAUUGAAGAGGGCAGGAGGGAGAGGAUGGGGAGUAGUGAGGAGAUGGGAGAAGAAACAGAGACAGGAGAAGAGACAGAGACAGGCGAGGAGACAGGGACAGGAGAA
rnacentral:lncRNA from 1 species